UCUUUCUUCCUUUCUGCUCAUAAUUUUUGGUACCCAAUACAAUUUCUUUAGGAAUUCACUCUUUGUGGUCCUAUACUAUCAGUUUUGAACAAGCGAAUUCAUCUCUGGGUUUGUUGAUCGGCUUAUUCAGUGGAUUGUUUUUCUGAUUUUCAAUCGUUGGGGAUUGAACAUUACAUAUAUUGAAGAAGUUUGAAAGAUCAAGUUUUUUAAAUUCCUACAACCCAAAGCAGAAGAUAUAGAAAGAGCCCACAGCACAGAAAGCUUUGUCUUGGGGAGCUCUCUCUACAGGUAUUUAGCUCUCAAAACCUCUCUUUUAUUGUAUUUGGGAAUGUGGGUUGCAUUGAAUUUUGAGAUUUGUUCAUGAACUUGGGAGCUUUUAAUGAAGUCAAUACAAUCACUGGAAAAGGUACGUCCCAAGAUUUUGAUUGAUAAUAUUGAUUACAACAAGUUGAAUGGGUUUACCUUGAUAGUACUGAGUUCACCCGUACCCUACUUUCUUUAUCUUCUGUUUUGGAUUUUGAUCGACUGUACUGAUUAGUUCUUCCCCAGUCAUCCCACUUCAUUGUUUUAUUGAUUUUUGUGUUCUUCCACCAUUAUCGCUCUGUUGUAUUUGUUUUAGCUUGUUAUUUGUAAAGUUGAAUUUGGUUUUUGAGUGAAAAUGAUGAUAAGUGAUUGACGCCCAGUCUUAUUUGCAUCCAAGAGAUGCAAGGUGGUGAAUGACUUAUAUCUGAUUUCAUUCAUGUAGAAAUUGAUAGAAAGUUUUGAUAGGUUAAAUCAGUGAUUGUCUUUCUGAUAUGGUUUUACAAUUGUAAUUUUGUUUUGUUUGUCUGUCUGGAGCUGAAUAUGUGCUCUACUUUUCAGUGUCGUUUCUUUUGUUGAAAAUGUCAAAUUUUUUAGGGGUAUGAUGAAUAUUUACAUGCACUACCAUCUGAUCUACGUUGUGUACCCUUUUUAUUUCUGGAUAACUCUUAAUGCCCUUGCUUGCUUGCAUCUUGAGAUGCAGCUGCACAGUUGGGCGAAUAGUUUAUCAGAUUUAAAUUUUGUCUCUUUUAUUUGCUUAAUUUUUAGGAGUCUUCCUGCAAUCCGUGAUGCAAAAACUUUAACCUAAUGCAAAAACUUUAACAACAGACUUGGUACAUGACUGGUAUCCACCCGAGGUUGUGCCUAUUUGUCUGUCAUCAUGCCUGAAGAGAAUUUGCAUACAGGGAUUCAAAGGACAAAAAGGUGAGAUUGGUGUGACAGAGUACUUGUUGAAAGCACGGUCAGGUUUUGAAUAAGGUAACAAUUUAUACUAGUGAUUUCUGGGAAGACUCGGUGGAGGAGUUCUGGCAAAAAUGAUCAAAACUCCAAAGAGGUUCUAGGAGUUGUAAGAUUGAAUGAUCUUUUGAUCUUUAUGAAUGGAUCCUUUAUUUGCUGGUAGGCGUUAAAUUUAUUUGCAGUUGUAGUGUAACCUUGUGACAUUAGCUUCA